UCAACAUGUGUGAGUGCACCUUCACCAAUCCCACAAAUGCCUCUGCUCUCACGAAUUUAUUACCCUUGGGAGAGCCUCAGCAAGACAGUACUUGAUGUAUUGGAAGCAGACAAUGUUCUGCUUCCCUCUCAACGACAGGAAGUGGCACACAUGGCAGCGUCAUGGCCCUGCAUAUCCAUUGAAGGUGGGAGGCACUCCUGAUAUUUAUUCACAGGCACCUGGUUGGUAUCAUUGAGAACGAAGGGAGCCAGCAGCCAUAAAAAAAUCAAGAGGGCUACAUACAUAAAUGCGUGAGGCAGUGAGGGCAGCAGAUGAAUAUAGCAAGAAGUGGGAACAUCUCAUGUGAUACAUAGCGGUCAAAUGUUCCGCCACCAAAGUCAUGCACAAGUUAUUUGUAGUCUUUCCAGUAAUUUCCAAAAUAAAGGGUUAUUAUUGAAAAGCUAUCCUCUCUGGACACACAAAACAUGAGAAUUGAACAAUUAACAAUGAAACAAAAUCUCUGGACAUCUCGC